rnacentral:rRNA from 1 species
GGCUCUGUGCCGAUAAUUCAACGGGACUAAAACACAAUACCGAAGCUACGGGUAGAAAUACGUUAGAGGAGCGUUCUAAGGGCCUUGAAGCUAGACCGUAAGGACUAGUGGAGCGCUUAGAAGUGAGAAUGCCGGUAUGAGUAACGAUUCAAAGUGAGAAUCUUUGACGCCUAUUGGGGAAGGUUUCCUGGGCAAGGUUCGUCCACCCAGGGUUAGUCGGGUCCUAAGACGAGGCCGAAGGGCGUAGCCGAUGGACAACAGGUUAAUAUUCCUGUACUUUCUUGAGAGUGAUGUAGUGACG